rnacentral:lncRNA from 1 species
AAGAGGAUGGGUAGGAAGAAACCAGCAUUAGCUACUCCUGUCGCUAAGGGCAGGGGCCUAAUUUGCUGCCUUUCCCACCCCCAUUAGAAACUUCCACAUCAAAGGCCAUCCUGGACUGGGGGGCACAGAGCCCUAUCUGCCCUCACGCCCACCCUUGCCCAGGACUGCGAGGGCCCCCAACUCGUUCUGCACAGGGUUCCAAUCAUCACAAAACCCGAGACUCCAGUCACCCCCGCGCCCUUGCUACACACGGACAAGUCGAGGCUCAGAGCCCGGGCGGAGGCCAUCGACGCCCACCCUCGGCUGCCCUCUGUCUCCCCUGCAUCUCUACCGCCUUCUGCGAAACCAUCGAGGCGAGAGUCCUCCGGGCUGCCUAGAGCGUCCCGGAAGUGGCGGUGACGGUGAAGGGGCGCGGAUCGGCUGCACUUCCGGCGGCGGUGGCUGCUCCGGGUCCGCAGAACCUGAUUUGAAAGAAACUGGUUCAGCCCUCAGACAUCUGGACGCCGGCAACCGGACUGCAAUUCUGGACGGCAAUUUUCCAUCAGAUGGCAUGUGAAUCAUCCGUAGGACCAGGUUCAAGCGGCAAGCAGCUGAACCCAAGUCAUUAACAAAAGGACAGAAGUUCAAGAAAAAACCCACCCACUUUACUGCAGCUAAAAUAAUGAAGUCAAUAAAAUAGGCUUUCAGUUUAUCAAACUCAAUGAAAAUGUUCAGUGCUUGGAACUGUCUUCUCCAGCUUGCUGUCUGGGUAAUAACUGCGAGGUGGACCAUCUCAUGAAUGUCACGGUUAGUGUCCUGCUCAGUGAGCCAUCGUGCAGCCUGGCUGAUUCCCAGUUUGAGCUGAGGAGGUGGGGACCUCCUGCAAGUGUGGAAUUGGGGGUUUUGUGCGGCAGGUUUGGGGACAGGUGUGUGACCUGGAGGCUGUGGCUCUGCCCAAGGCUGUGCUGGGGGCCUCGCUGGGGUACCAGGGCCAGCCCCUGAGGGCGGGGGUGAGGGGCUGGGGAGUUGCCACUUCAUGGCACAGAGCUUCUGUUUGAAAAAAAGUUCUGGAAUUUAGUGAUGGUUGCAUGACACGGGGAAUGUAAUCAGUGCCACUGAACUGUCCACGCAAAACGAUGAAAGUGGUAAAUUUUAUGUUCUCUGUGUUUUACCACAAUAAAAAAUACCGUGAAAUCCAAGAGCUGGAUGAUUGGGACCUGGUGACUCUGGGCUGAGGACGGCAGAGCCUCAGAGGAGAAGUGAGGCCCCCAAGAGACUGGCUCCAGCAGGAAGCCCAAGGGGGUGAUGUCACUGGAGCCCAGGGCGAAGGUCUGGAAGGGGGCGAAUAUCCCGGCCUGUCCCUCUGUCCCAUCUCCUCAUUCCCCUUCAGGAGCCCAGCCAGAACCCGGCUGACCCUGCCUGAGAAAUUCGGGAGGACGGCCAGUAGGGCGGGUAGCACUGGGCAGGGUUGGGAUGGGGCUUUUGCCCAGCCGCCCCUCAGCCAGUGUUUACGAGCACCUACUGUGGGCUAGGCUUUGCCAGAUUCCCUUGUCCAGUGCACAGGGAGGAUCAGGCUGGAAAAGUGGGGAGGGGCCAGGCGGUCAGACCCCUGCUGGUCUUUUGAAGGACAGGGGCCCAGGGGCCUGUGUGCUCGGUGGCGGAAGACGAGUGUAGCACCAGGCUUCGGGAAGCCAUCCGGGCUGUGCCUUCCUCUGGGCCCACUGUCCCUCCUGGUCAUUUUCACCACACUUAUUGAGGUCCCCUCCUCAGAGGCUUCACUGGCCACCCUACCAUGGGGGUCCCGGGCUGUGUCCACCCCAGUCCAGCCGCUUGUUUACUCCGGUGUGCUCACAGCAACUUGCUGGUGACUUCUUGGCUCACUGUGGGGACAGAGCCUCAAAAAGCAGUUUCCAGGCGCUCGGCCUCACAUAGAAAGGUGCUGGCUCAGGUAGUAAAUGGUCAUUGACUGUGAUCAAAUGGCCAUCAGCUGUGGCUAGUUGGCCGUCAGCUGUAACCAGUGAGCCAUUAGCCAUGAAUAUAACUGCCGUGGC